UGAUUGGUCCGCGUAUAAUCCCGAUACCUUUCGGAUGAUCCCGAGACUAAGCAAUGUCUUUGCGAACCAAUCACACGGCGCGUACAGCAAAUUCGUACUCUGUGACCUCCUUUUUGGCUGCCAUUGGAGGAGAUGAAGCCCUGUCCGAUCAAUGCACGCAAGAUUGUGUCAAAUAAAAGAGAUGAGAUGGGUUUUGAGUUUAAGAGACUUGUAGUAUGACAUCUCCCCGACCUGCCACUCCCCAAAAUUCCUUAGGUAACGCUGUAAUUACUUGGAAAAUGUGCCCCGAAACGAGGACCCCCUGUUUGUUUACAAAUUUUUGUUUCUUACCUUGUGUAUUUUAUUAUACCGGUAGAAGGCCAAUCUCUAAAGCUUACAAAAAGCGUGAAACGAUUACAUGAAUCGAAAGAGGGGUGAGAUAGACUGGGAAUUCAUACAUUUCAGAGAAAUUAUUGCCACCAAAAAGGGGGGGGGGGGUAGUAAUGUCCAUACUUCAGGUGCCUGUGGUAUGAUUAAAGCUCGAUAAAUUUAUUUUGUAUAAAUGAGAACGUUAGCCAUUGAUAAAUUAGGCAGAUUAUUCUUUUUUCUAAGUUUUCUUGUAUCCGACGAUGUAUGACAGCCAAACAUACAAUUUCCGACGGGAGUUCCUGCGUACUGUGCAGAUUUUCUGGCUAUGUACAGCUUAUGAACCGAUCAUCGUCCCACACCCCACGAUGACUCAACAUAUUCCAAAAUUGUUUAGAAAGUUUUAUUCUCUUUGAAUUAGUUUUUCUGGACUGCACACCAUAAUUCUUUGGCUACCUAAAGUUGCCUGUGUGACUCGUCCAUAACGCAUGGCCUACAACAACAGCCAGGACAUUCGGAUUUUUUGACAGUUCCGUCUAUAACUGGUCCAGACGAAAAAUUCGUUCUUCCUCUGGCUUCCAGUUCCAACCAUUAUACGCAAGAAAGAGCCCUUAUAGCGGCUAAUGUGAUGGUACAUUAUUCUUCAUAUAGGCCCUAAUGUCGCAAAUGUUAUUGUUAAUGUUGUCCUAUGAAAAUACGGCGCUCACGAUGUGUGUAAAAGAAAUUUCGAUCUGGCUAUAAAAUAUAUCCAAGUCAGGGUGGGACUUGGGCACAUAAAACCAAAGGGGGAUGAGGGGGUGCCCACAUUUUUUGUCAGUCAACCUUCAAUUUGACCACCACCACCCCUUGGGGAAAAAACGAUGCUGCGUCACUGUGUCUGCAUGGCGUUAGCAAUAGCGCAAGUAAUAACUAUAUUUCUCUUAUUGUCAUCAGAGAAUGUACUCUGCAAUUAUCAUACAUUUAUCAUUAACCAGUCGGUAUGUUUCAACCGAUUCGGAAUAUAUAGGAUCUUGAUCGAUCUUAUUGUUCGUCCUCCGAUGAAAAAUCGUAGAUGUGGCUGGCAUUUGCAUUAAUUAUGAGUUCAAAGUGAUAUCCUUGUAUAACAAACUAUGGUUCCCCAUUCAAAAACCCCUCCAGUUGCGAAUACAUCGUCUAUGGGUGUGCUUUUGUUUUGAUUCGCAAAUUUGAGUGUGGUAUCUUAUGACGUCACAAAUUCAGGAAAUCAGGAACGAUAAUCGGGUAACGAUUUUCUAUUUCGACUACCUUUGCACUUCAAUUUCUUCGAGCUAAUAUCGUUGUUAAUCUUUUUAAGAGUAUUUUUAUGAGGAGCCUAUGAAACAAAGUUGAUAAUUAUAGAGAGAAUACGUAUUGUUUAAAACCGUCUCCUAUGUCCUAAAUACCUGGGUCAUAUCAUGUAGUACUCCCACCAUUAGGGAGCUGUUCAGCAUGUUUUUAAUAGUCCGUCAAGUCAUAGCACGUGUGAGAUCGCGGUAUACAUGGGCGUUCAGCGUGGUGGAUUCAGCGACUUUUUGGGGCCCACUGUACGUAUAUGUUUUGAAUUUGGCGUGAUACAGUGUAGUUGUCCAGUAGGCGAAGCUGUCAGCGCUGUAUAUUAUGUACAUGUAUGGAGGCCCAGUUGUGCCAAGUGUGAUGUGGCUUUUAUUAACUGUUAAAUAAAAUUAAAAUUGUCAUUGUAAAAGUUAUUUACUACUGUUUGAACCUUUCCUGUUGUCAACAAAAAUAAUUUUGUAAUAUGGUAUUAACAGUUACAUGUUCAGCUUGGGUUAAUAUCAUUUGUUAUAUAUUAACUAAAGAAUUGUAUUUAAAUUCGAAAGUUAUUUCUUAAUUCAUUCUUAAUAUUGCGUGGUUUAUUAUGUCAUGAUAAAGUUUGAUUACUUUGUGUUUUUCUUUAUUGAUUUUGUUAAAUAAAUGUUUUUGUUUAUUCUGUGAUUUAUCAUUACUUUUGUUGCCUGCACAAAAUCCAAAAAAACUUCAUUACACAUAUGUUUAUAAGUACAUGUAUUUCUUUCCCAAUAUCGUUCACAGCUGACUUUCAAUGUGUGUAAUGCAUAAGUUUUGUUGAUAAUUUUGAGCGCAAUAUGUACAUGUAACAUUUGCAAUGGUACAUUCUGUACUCUAUAAAAUCAUGUUAUUUUCUGCAAACCCAGAUGUAGCGUAAUGAUUUCAUGUAAUUAACAUUAUGUAAAUAAAAUAUAAUCGGCAAAUCAAAUAUACAUUUCUUAGAAGAAACUUCUGCAAUGUGUUCCUUUUACGUCAUGUUGAGAAUUAUUCACUCAUAUUGAGACGUCAUAUCAUCACCUCUAAGUGAGGUACCAAAAAUAGCACAACUUUAAAUCACUGCCGGGAAAUCGUUUUAACCGAAUUUUAUACACGCCAGGUACGUAGAACCUGUAGGGGUGGGAUGGGGUGUCCUCAACGUUUUCACAAUGAUAAAUACUUAUUUUUAUUUGCAAAUAAAAAUACAUUGGUUGCCUGGCUUUCCACUAUUUCUGAUAGUAGUAGUGAAUGAGAUGAAUGUAAGGUUAGAAGUUUGAAAUGAAACCAUUCACUGUAGAAUGAGCCCAAACCCCCAAUGCCCCUUGAUACAAAAAAAUGCAUUUCAAGGAGAAACGAUUUUUGAGACAGACAAGUAGAAACUCGAAUUCCAACCCGCAAAACUACCACCCCCCGAUUUAGGAGUUUGAAGAUCGGGGAAACCUUAUAAAAAUAACAAAUUAAUUUUUUCCUUGUCAUCAUUCUUUAUACCCCCAUCAUACUAGGCCACGUUCGCACUACGACCAUGUAAAAAUUGAUCAUCGUAGUGCGAUCGGGUACGUCGUAGUAAGGUCGUAGUAAGAACGUAGUAAGGUCUUUAUGGUCGUGGAGCAACUUUGAACAUGCUCAAAACAAACGUAGUAAGGUCGUGGUCAAAUUUGAUCGUAGUGGAAGCGUAGCAAGGACGUACUAAGGUCGUAUUUAGAUAGGCAUGGUCGUAGUAGCAUCGUAAUGGGAUCGUGAUGCAGAAGAAAACGACACCACUGCGAUUCCACUACGCUCUCUAUACGACCAUCCCGUUUUCACUACGUUCUCAUUACGAUCAUCCCGUUUGCACUACGUUUUCUUCACGCUUCCGCUACGAUCACGGCACGUCCAUACUAUGUUGUUGAAGACUGUAGUACGUUUCUAACAAGCUAAUCCCGUCUUUAAUACGUCCUCACUGCGAUUUCACUGCGCGCAAGCCACGACCGAAUCACGUUCUGUUCUCCCCCUAGCUGCAAUAAUGUAGCCCUAUUCAAUUUUUUUUUUAAUUCUGACGUUUUCGGGAUAGGGCUACAAUUCCAUAGGAUCUCCGUAAUGGUGCAAAAUAAUUUUAUGAAUAACCGAUAAUAAACUCUGUGUAUUAGUCCCAAAUGUUGUUUACACCAAAAGGAGUACCAACUUUGUGCUCGGACAUGUCUAAUAAAGGUGUUUUUUAUUAAAUACAAUGUACAACAUGCAAAAUCCUUCGUCUGCUUCGCCAUGCUUGUUAUCGCGAGAUCUCGUAGGUGGAUCUAAUGAAAAACCUAAACAUUGACAAUCAGCGCGAAAAUGUAGUUACUCGAGCCACUUCGACAAAGAAAGGAAAAUCAUAUUGUUGCAAAAAGAAUUUACACUCUGCUGUUCGGUUUUUAACUUGAUAUUAAAUUCAAACCUUUUCAAUACCGACGAAAUAGCUUUCGCCUCCAUACUUGUCCAUUGAUGUAAAUACUACCUUAUAUGGCAUAUGCAAAUGACUUGACAAUCGGAAGUUGAAACUUCAGUACAUCAAACAUGGCGCACAAAUAUGAAUCGAGAAAUUGGAAUUUAUCGAAAUUGUUGAAAACGGUAGAAUAGAGCCUCGCAAAUCUUAAGGUAGCGACGGAUAGCAACCACGUGAUCAGUAAAAAUUGUGUAUUUUCACGUGAAUUCAUUUUCCGGAAUUCCUUACUCCGUCAUAGAAUAGUCGAAAAACAAAAAGGGGUUCCGAAAGUGUUUUGUUGCUGUGACUGACUCGCCUACAGAAAAUAUGCACAUACCACAUAAGUAUACGUCAAUGUCUGUAAUAAUGGUAGAUCAAAUGUUUCAUCUGUGUGAAACUUUUUGCUAAUCGAAAUGUUAAACCAACCACCAAUCCAUGUACAUAGAUGCGCUACGUAAACAAAGUUGUUGAUUGAUGCAUCGUAAUGUCCGAGUGCUGCAUGCUGAGAGAUUAAAUACUGUUUAUACAGUCAUUGAGAGGCUAAACAAAGUUUCUUGCAAGAAGAGGAAGUUGGUGGAUGCAUUCAACUUGGACAACGAAAUCAUAGUUUCGUUUGGCAUCAGCCUGAAGACCGAGGGAGGUUAGAUAGGACCAGUGCAGGUUGAAGUGGAUUUCGAGCCAACAAGUAUAACAGCAAGAGAGGUACUAUUUUUUUUUUUUUUUGAUAAACAUUUGUAAAGACAAUUCUGAGUAUAUCAGAUAUUCAUCCUUUUUGCUAUAUUUAAAUAUAUUUAUCUAUAUUUUGAACAGGUACUCCAUUUACAGUGAUGAUGACAUAUCCCCUGGACCCCCACAACUCCACAAACUUAAAAAUGUUUGAUCAAGUUCCGAAGAUUAAAGAACUACUGCAAAAUUUGGGACUGGAUGAAAAACAUUAAUUCACUUAUUUGAGCUCAGAGCAGUGGAUGUUAUACAACAUACUUUAAACUAAAUUGUGAAUUUAAGGGAAAACAAGAUCAUGUACUCGUAUAUUACAAGUACAUGCCUUUUGAAAGACAAUAAUAUUGCAUAGAUGUAAAGGAAAUUUCAAUGUUGAUUAUUCUUUCUUAGAUAUAUUAGUAAAAAAUGUGCACAUGAUAGAAUAUCAAUUUUAUAACUUCAAUCAAUGUGUUUGAAUUUUCCUUGUAAUUCAAAAUUUAGUUGAAACAUACAUCAUAGAUACAUUAAUGUAUAUCAAAUUUUUAGAAAAGUUUCAUAAUGGAACUAAUUCACCACCCCCCCCCCCCCUUAUACAUACAGUGAACAUAGACCUUCACCUGGGGAAAACUUCAGUUAGUUAAUGCAAUAUACAUGUACAUGCAUUCUCAGUUAUCCAAUAGUGAGUUUUUGGUUCCAUGUGAAACUACAAUUAGAAAUCUUAAACUUAUGAAAGACACACCUAUCUGUGAGGGUAAGAUGACUCAGAUGGACUUACAUGUAGUGAUCCAUGGGCAGUCCAUGGGUCUCUUUCCAUUGAUAUUAAUUAUUUAUUGAAAUAUGAAAUGGUUAUUUAAACAUAUUUGGUGUAUUAUACUGUAUAGUGUUAUAAAUUUCUAUCAAAAAAUAUGUAUAGGUAAUAGAUUUGGUCCAGUUAUUACAAGAAAUUGUAUAAAAAAUAACUAAAUAUUUAGGCAAUCAUUGUGAGUGCGAAAAGGUCAACUGCAAUAGCACACACUAUAUAUCAUUCUUAAAUGGCUCAUAGAAACUUCUAGUAUUGUGAGUUUGAAUGCUCAAUAUGGUAAUUUGGGAAUGCUUAAUCACUUAAGGUCAAUAGUUUAUCUCUGCUGACUGUAUCUCUUAAAAUUCAUUUCUAGAAGGGAGGGGGUAGGGUUACAAAAUCUGACAUAGUUUCAGAUUAAACCUCAUUUGGUAUAUUUUUUUCUAUUCAAUAUUUUAGAUACUACUUGACUUAUUGUAAAAAUGAAAUAAAAUCAGAAAUUUUAUGAGCAGAAUUUUGUUGUUGUCAGAAAAUGUAUGCCUGAUAGUAUUUGAGAAACGCCAUAUUUAGGGCAAAUUUGGCCAAUUGCCAAGUCGAAUCAUGCCAAUGUUUUCCUUAGAUGCAUUUUGAAUUUCUAAUCCAUGUUGAUUUUUUAUCUGUUUGUGUUUAAUUUACAUAACUAUAUAUGACAAACAAUAUUUCUGGUGUCAAUAAAAUUUUUAUUGGC